rnacentral:misc_RNA from 1 species
GAAAUGCGAUAAGUAAUGUGAAUUGCAGAAUUCCGUGAAUCAUCGAAUCUUUGAACGCACAUUGCGCCUCUGGUAUUCCGGGGGGCAUGCCUGUCCGAGCGUCAUUGCGAACCCCUCAAGCACGGCUUGUGUGAUGGGCCCUCCCGCGUCUUGGUCGUCAAGACGGGCCCGAAAUGCAGUGGCGGCUUCGCGGUUAUCCGAUCAGCCAGAGCGUAUGGGGACUUUCUCUCUGUCACACGCCCGCGGCGCGGACCGACGCCUGUCGACCUUUAUUCAUCUUUUUCUCGGUUGACCUCGGAUCAGGUAGGGAUACCCGCUGAACUUAAGC